UACGUAGGUGACAAGCGUUGUCCGGAUUUACUGGGCGUAAAGAGCGCGCAGGCGGUCGAUCAAGUCGAGUGUGAAAGCCCCCGGCUCAACUGGGGAGGGUCAUUCGAUACUGAUCGACUCGAAGGCAGGAGAGGGUAGUGGAAUUCCCGGUGUAGUGGUGAAAUGCGUAGAUAUUCGGAAGAACACCAGUGGCGAAGGCGACUGACUGGACAAGUAUUGACGCUGAGGUGCGAAAGCGUGGGGAGCAAACAGGG
rnacentral:rRNA from 1 species